UACAGAGGUCCCAAGCGUUGUUCGGAUUCACUGGGUGUAAAGGGUGCGUAGGUGGUCGGGUAAGUCUGAUGUGAAAUCUCCGAGCUUAACUCGGAAAUGGCAUUGGAUACUAUUCGGCUGGAGGUUUGGAGGGGGGACUGGAAUUCUCGGUGUAGCAGUGAAAUGCGUAGAUAUCGAGAGGAACACCAGUGGCGAAGGCGGCUCACUGGACCGGAACUGACGCUGAGGCGCGAAAGCGUGGGGAGCAAACGGG
rnacentral:rRNA from 1 species